rnacentral:lncRNA from 1 species
GUUCCAGCUUGUAGUAGCUAUAGUUUUGGUAAUAUCGCUCGGUCGGGAUCAAGCUCAGGCUGCCAUAGGUGAUGACCCUUUCCAGGCCCUCCUGCACUUGAGACAACACAGCCCAUAGCCCUCGGAAGCUUGCAAGUGGGUCAGGCUGAGUCCUCAGUCCCCUCCUGUAUUUCCUGUAUACCCACAACUGUGUGAUCUCCAACGCCGUCAUCAAGUUCGCUGACGACACAACAGCAGUAGCCAUGAUUACCAACAAGGACGAGACAGCCUACAGGGAGGAGGGCUGUCGUGGAAAUGGUCAGUAGGAGCUUCAGAUGGUGAUACGUGCAGCCGAACGCACCAUUGGAUGAACACUGCCUGCCCUACAGGACACCUACAACACCAGGUGUCGCAGGGAGGCCAAGAAGAUCAUCAGGGACCUCGCCACCAAGCCAUGCCCUGUUUUUCCUGCUUCAAUCACUCAGACGCAACACAGCAGCAUCAUGGCAAAAACUGGAAGACUGUCUGAUAGUUCCGACCCUCAGACAAUCAGGCUGCUGAAUAGCCACCGCUAGUCAGCAAUCUGCUCCUCCUCCCCCCCUGCUACUCCCCCAAUGGACAUUUUCCCCCCACACCACCAACUGACUUUUACUCUGCCCCCACCCCAACUCUGCCCCCAGAGAUACUCUGCCCCCACAUCAUAGAUGUUUUUUAUCCUAUUUUGUUUUUGUUUUUAUGUAACUCGGUCCCCACACCCGCUCAAUGGCCAUGCUGCUCCCCCUAUGGUCACUCCCCCCCACUCCCUCAACAGUUUUUGGACAUCUGCCUCCAACCCAAUGGACAUUUAUUUGUUAUUUCAAUUUCUAUUGUUGUUUUUACAUUACCAUUUUCAUUAUUUUAUUUCACUUAUUCCUGCAUGUUCAAGCUCAGAGCCUGAGAUGUUCACUGUACCCUCCAAUCUCCUGCAACCCUGUACAUGUGACUAUUAAACACAGAAUAUAAAUGAAAAUGAAAGUCCCCUAAAUUGGGGAAUUAACAUUUAAGAAGUUAAUAUGAGAUAAUUUCAGUAACACGUAUUAAGGUGAUAAUAAUCUUGUUUUAACGUGACCAUUAUUUUCCAUUAAUGUGGUAAUUAUCUCAUAAAAGUUAUAGGAAUUUUGUUUGUGUGUGCUUGGCACAACCAUACAUUCGAGACCAAACAGUUGAAAUGUUUCCUGCUAAAGGAUUCAGAUACAAAUUUUGUCUAGUACAUAUAAAAUAAGAACUUCAAUUGACAGCACAUUUAGUGACA